CGGGACACGUGGUAUCCUGUCUGAAUAUGGGGGGACCAUCCUCCAAGGCUAAAUACUCCUGACUGACCGAUAGUGAACCAGUACCGUGAGGGAAAGGCGAAAAGAACCCCGGCGAGGGGAGUGAAAAAGAACCUGAAACCGUGUACGUACAAGCAGUGGGAGCACGCUUAGGCGUGUGACUGCGUACCUUUUGUAUAAUGGGUCAGCGACUUAUAUUCUGUAGCAAGGUUAACCGAAUAGGGGAGCCGAAGGGAAACCGAGUCUUAACUGGGCGUUAAGUUGCAGGGUAUAGACCCGAAACCCGGUGAUCUAGCCAUGGGCAGGUUGAAGGUUGGGUAACACUAACUGGAGGACCGAACCGACUAAUGUUGAAAAAUUAGCGGAUGACUUGUGGCUGGGGGUGAAAGGCCAAUCAAACCGGGAGAUAGCUGGUUCUCCCCGAAAGCUAUUUAGGUAGCGCCUCGUGAAUUCAUCUCCGGGGGUAGAGCACUGUUUCGGCAAGGGGGUCAUCCCGACUUACCAACCCGAUGCAAACUGCGAAUACCGGAGAAUGUUAUCACGGGAGACACACGGCGGGUGCUAACGUCCGUCGUGAAGAGGGAAACAACCCAGACCGCCAGCUAAGGUCCCAAAGUCAUGGUUAAGUGGGAAACGAUGUGGGAAGGCCCAGACAGCCAGGAUGUUGGCUUAGAAGCAGCCAUCAUUUAAAGAAAGCGUAAUAGCUCACUGGUCGAGUCGGCCUGCGCGGAAGAUGUAACGGGGCUAAACCAUGCACCGAAGCUGCGGCAGCGACGCUGAUGCGUUGUUGGGUAGGGGAGCGUUCUGUAAGCCUGUGAAGGUGUGCUGUGAGGCAUGCUGGAGGUAUCAGAAGUGCGAAUGCUGACAUAAGUAACGAUAAAGCGGGUGAAAAGCCCGCUCGCCGGAAGACCAAGGGUUCCUGUCCAACGUUAAUCGGGGCAGGGUGAGUCGACCCCUAAGGCGAGGCCGAAAGGCGUAGUCGAUGGGAAACAGGUUAAUAUUCCUGUACUUGGUGUUACUGCGAAGGGGGGACGGAGAAGGCUAUGUUGGCCGGGCGACGGUUGUCCCGGUUUAAGCGUGUAGGCUGGUUUUCCAGGCAAAUCCGGAAAAUCAAGGCUGAGGCGUGAUGACGAGGCACUACGGUGCUGAAGCAACAAAUGCCCUGCUUCCAGGAAAAGCCUCUAAGCAUCAGGUAACAUCAAAUCGUACCCCAAACCGACACAGGUGGUCAGGUAGAGAAUACCAAGGCGCUUGAGAGAACUCGGGUGAAGGAACUAGGCAAAAUGGUGCCGUAACUUCGGGAGAAGGCACGCUGAUAUGUA
rnacentral:rRNA from 1 species